rnacentral:snoRNA from 1 species
GCACCUGAAUAAUCUUUCCUAUUCCUUGCUGUGCAGUGCAGGUCUGGGGACAGUUGGUGCUACAGCACAGCAGUGGAAAUCCAGAUGAGUUGUUUUCCACUGGUUUGGAACUCAUUUCUACACCUCUGCAACAUUU